GUACACGCUGUGACUAGCAUAUCAAUAAGCGGAGGAAAAGGCUGCUGAACUGAACGACCGCUACCUACGCUUAGGAUGUUGACGAGACUGUCGAUCUAUACAUGACUCUGUGCAUAUCAAUAAGCGGAGGAAAAGAAACUAACAAGGAUUCCCCUAGUAACGGCGAGUGAAGCGGGAAGAGCUCAAAUUUGAAAUCUUAAAGGGUUUCCCUUUACGAAUUGUAGUUUAAAGAAGUGUUUUCUGUUGAGGUUUUGGUAAAAGUUCUUUGGAAUAGGACAUCAUAGAGGGUGAGAAUCCCGUAUUUGACCUUUACUUUCAACUUUGUGAUACACUUUCAAAGAGUCGGAUUGUUUGGGAAUGCAGUCCAAAAUGGGUGGUAAAUUUCAUCUAAAGCUAAAUAUUGGCGAGAGACCGAUAGCGAACAAGUACCGUGAGGGAAAGAUGAAAAGAACUUUGAAAAGAGAGUUAAACAGUACGUGAAAUUGUCAAAAGGGAAGCGUUUGACACCAGUGUUGUUUUUCUGAAAAUCAAUUAAAGAACUGUUUAUGCUAAGCUGUUUAGACUUUAUCAGCUAUCUGUUUAGUUUUGAGCUUUUCUUUAAUGCACUUUUCAGUUAACAAGUCAACAUCAAUUUCUUUUGCUGUAAAAAAGCUUGAGGAAGGUGGCUUGAGAUUCGUCUUAAGUGUUUAUAGCCUCUUGCCUAUGCAGUCGGAGAGAUUGAGGUCUGCAGCGUAGAUCCUUCGGGGCUAAAUGCAUUUGUGCUAAGUUAUAGCAUUUCAUAGGACAACUUGUUGACUAUGAUUUGUCCUUGUAGCUUACUCGCUUAUGUUAUUUUACCUACGCUUAGGAUGUUGACGAGACUGUCGAUCUC
rnacentral:rRNA from 1 species